GUGACCUCAGGUCAGGCGG
rnacentral:rRNA from 1 species